AACAGUUGCAUCCGAGUUCGGUUUGUUCCGAUGCGUUCGCCUAAAGUUAACCUGAAGAACAACAACGCCGAGGUGCGAGUGCCACUAAGAGACAACUAAAUCAAAGGUUACGGUCGCCUACCAUUUUUGCUUUUCCUUUGCCACUCAGCUCUGUAUUGCGUAAUUAACGUUAUUACGAAAGGCGUCGGUGGUGUGUAAAAGCAGUGUACCAUCCGAUGCAUGAGAAGCCAGUGAGUGUGUCUUGCUGCUGGUUUUUUUUUUAUUUCUCUCAUUUAUUAUUUUUUUCUUGAAGUCCAAAGUAGGACACAGCUCGCCCUCGAAUACUAAACAGGUGUUUCCCUGCGACUUUACAGGAACGCGCGCGACCACGUAUGCGUGUUUACUUUUCGAGGGUUAAAAAAAGAAACCUCGCUUGCGACAAAUGCGCCUCCACGGUCGCGGCGAACGCUUUUUUGUUGCGCGGGCGAUAAGCGAGGGCUGCGCCGUGGCUUGCCUGCUAACAAGUCACCAGUACCGCAUAAUCCGGAGUACACUGCCAACUCUGAUAUUUUUUUUUAGCGUUCUCGCAGUAGAAACGAAAAAGCGCGCAGGAAGUCAGUGCUCAAGCGGCCAUUGGCGCAAUGCCAUGUCUUGUUCGAGCAGUGGGAGAGAGGCUCAUAAGGACGCAAGAUCCCCGAUAGCGCCCCAGAUUUGGUCACGGUCUCACUCUUCGAGUCCUCGGCACGCACGAGGAUCGCUGCUGCUUCGUCCCAGGAUCUGAGCUCGGUGCGCGCGCCGUCGACAAAAGAACCGAGGGCCGUGGUAACGCCGAUCGCGGGAGCAACAAACAGCCAUGAUCAACCCGGAGGUCGGCAGGGGCGCCUCCGGCUACUUCGAACGGGGACACCACCGGGCAGAAGGGGUGCCGGACAUCGCUGUCCUGAAGACUGUGCGCCCCCCACC